rnacentral:rRNA from 1 species
GGAUUAGAUACCCUGGUAGUCCACGCCGUAAACGAUGAGAACUAGCCGUCGGGGCCCUUGAGGCCUUGGUGGCGCAGCUAACGCGAUAAGUUCUCCGCCUGGGGAGUACGGCCGCAAGGUUAAAACUCAAAUGAAUUGACGGGGGCCCGCACAAGCGGUGGAGCAUGUUGUUUAAUUCGAUGCAACGCGAAGAACCUUACCACCCCUUGACAUACUCGGAAUUUUCCAGAGAUGGAUUAGUGCCUUCGGGAACCGAGAUACAGGUGCUGCAUGGCUGUCGUCAGCUCGUGCCG